rnacentral:rRNA from 1 species
UGAGUAACCUGCCCUUAACUCUGGGAUAAGCCUGGGAAACUGGGUCUAAUGCCGGAUAUGACUCCUCAUCGCAUGGUGGGGGGUGGAAAGCUUUAUUGUGGUUUUGGAUGGACUCGCGGCCUAUCAGCUUGUUGGUGAGGUAAUGGCUCACCAAGGCGACGACGGGUAGCCGGCCUGGAGAGGGUGACCGGCCACACUGGGACUGAGACACGGCCCAGACCUCCGUACGGGAGGCAG